CCUACGGGAGGCAGCAGUGAGGAAUAUUGGUCAAUGGGCGAGAGCCUGAACCAGCCAAGUCGCGUGAGGGAGUACUGCCCUAUGGGUUGUAAACCUCUUUUGUCGGGGAGCAAAAGCCGGACGUGUCCGGCUGUGAGAGUACCCGAAGAAAAAGCAUCGGCUAACUCCGUGCCAGCAGCCGCGGUAAUACGGAGGAUGCGAGCGUUAUCCGGGUUUAUUGGGUUAAAAGGGUGCGCAGGCGGAUUUUUAAGUCAGCGGUAAAAUCGUGGGGCUCAACCCAAUCCAGCCGUUGAAACUGGGGAUCUAGAGUGUGCGAGAGGUAUGCGGAAUGCGUGGUGUAGCGGUGAAAUGCAUAGAUAUCACGCAGAACCCCGAUUGCGAAGGCAGCAUACCGGUGCACAACUGACGCUCAGGCACGAAAGCGUGGGUAUCGAACAGGAUUAGAUACCCCUGUAGUC
rnacentral:rRNA from 1 species